rnacentral:rRNA from 1 species
UACGUAGGGUGCGAGCGUUUAAUCGGAAUUACUGGGCGUAAAGCGUGCGCAGGCGGUUCGUUGUGUCGGCGGUGAAAGCCCCGGGCUUAACCUGGGAAUGGCCGUCGAAAGCUGGCGAACUGGGAGUGUGGCAGAGGGGGGUGGAAUUCCGCGUGUAGCAGUGAAAUGCGUAGAGAUGCGGAGGAACACCGAUGGCGAAGGCAGCCCCCUGGGCUGACACUGACGCUCAGGCACGAAAGCGUGGGAGCAAACAGG